AAUGACACCUGGCUCUGUAAGUCACUGCUAAGAAGCCAGCUGGACACCUUCAACUGAGGAGUUUAGAUUUCAGCCCCCCCUAUAGACAUGAUACUACUGCAGAAAAGGAGGGACUCGUUAGGGGUAUGGCCAAUAUGCCAACAGCUGUGGUUGAUGGAUAUGAAAGUGGAGCAUCUUUGAGGAGAUUUGGAACUAGAAUGAUUAAUCCUAUGCUUUUUAGGGCUUGCUCACCUGACCAUCAGCAUCACCUGACGAUGCUAUCAUGACUAUCAUCUGCUGACAUGCAAAAGUGUCUCCUUCUAGUAAGUGAGGGUCCCAACUGUUUGGUCAGCCAAAGCUUUAGGUGUAAAUAACCUCAGGCCAGCUCUUGCAAAGCCUCCAUCCUCUUGUCCUCUGAGGACACACCAAAGAAUGGGAACUGUUGCAGCAUUUAAGUCAGAGCAUCCUUGCCUAUCCUGUUCAAAUUUUGUGAAAAAUAUCUCUGAAGAGAAAUCCACAUCUAAUUGCUUAACAUCUACAGCUCUAAUGGGUAUGGAAGCCAAAAAUCAGGAAAGUUAAAUAAGCUCGAGUAAAAGAUCUUAUUUAUCCAGAACUCUGUUUGUAAUGCUGUUUUUUCAUGAAGAACAAGCACCUGGCGAAGCAAUUUCUAACUUGAGGAAUUUGGUUUCUCUGGAGGAUGGUGUGAUAACCUUGGCACAGACUGUGGUGGUCUCUGGUAGUGAGCAGCAGAUACUGACUUUUUCACAGCUCAUUCUCAAACCGAGUAAUUAGAAGUCUGAGCCAUGAUUGUGUAACUCAGCCACAUCAUUAUGGGGCUUCACAUUCCUGGCAAGCCUGGGACAAGUUAUAGAGGAGUGAAGAGAGGGAGAGCUACACCACCUUGCCUUUCAUAUUCUCCACCAGGAAAAGGACAGUGAAACAAGGAACAGAAACUACAGCAAAGACUUUUUUAUAUGCUAAAAUUUCACUUUAACACAGCUUCUGAUGGAAUUUGAAAGAGCUUCUGAGGUAAAUAAAUCCUGGACACUUUCAAAAUA